GCUAAUACCGGGUAAUACAUCGCACCGCAUGGUGCAAUGUUGAAAGUUGGCUUUCUGAGCUAACACUGCAGGAUGGGCCCGCGGCGCAUUAGCUAGUUGGUAAGGUAAUGGCUUACCAAGGCGACGAUGCGUAGCCGACCUGAGAGGGUGAUCGGCCACACUGGGACUGAGACACGGCCCAGACUCCUACGGGAGGCAGCAGUAGGGAAUCUUCCGCAAUGGACGAAAGUCUGACGGAGCAACGCCGCGUGAGUGACGAAGGCCUUCGGGUCGUAAAGCUCUGUUGUUAGGGAAGAACAAGUACCGUUCGAAUAGGGCGGUACCUUGACGGUACCUAACCAGAAAGCCACGGCUAACUACGUGCCAGCAGCCGCGGUAAUACGUAGGUGGCAAGCGUUGUCCGGAAUUAUUGGGCGUAAAGCGCGCGCAGGCGGUCUUUUAAGUCUGAUGUGAAAGCCCACGGCUCAACCGUGGAGGGUCAUUGGAAACUGGAGGACUUGAGUGCAGAAGAGGAGAGUGGAAUUCCACGUGUAGCGGUGAAAUGCGUAGAUAUGUGGAGGAACACCAGUGGCGAAGGCGGCUCUCUGGUCUGUAACUGACGCUGAGGCGCGAAAGCGUGGGGAGCAAACAG
rnacentral:rRNA from 1 species